rnacentral:lncRNA from 1 species
GCAAAAAAAGAAGAAACAGGUGAAAUUUGUUUUAAUAAUUUUUUUCACUCUGCCCCAGUAUUAUUUUAAUUAACCUGAUAGUUGCAAGUUAUUAUCAUUUUACCAUGUAAUGUAUAUAAAAAUUGAGAUAUUUACAUACUAUAUUGUUGUGGUUUGGUGUGUUUACACUUACAGACAUAUCAAUUCAUACGAGUCAGCCACAUUUCCAGUGCUUAAUAGCCCCAUGUGUGUAGUGGCUACCUAUUGGACAGCACAACUCUAGAGCCCUGACUUAAAUUAGGUUUUUGCUUUGGCAAUAUAAUGCUUCAUAAGUGUUGUAUUCUUCUGUCAGGGGGCCUAUAAUAUCCAGAUGUCUGUUUUUGUGUUGUAAGUGGUCAUGGAUAAUGAUUACCUAGAUCCUUUAUUUCAUUAGAUUUUUGCAAAAUGAUGAUAUUCUAGUUCUAUCAUUCUGUCUUUGUUUAUGGGCUGGAAUACUUCAAAAAGCAGAACUUUCCCUAACCAACUCUUGGUUACUCUGAGGUUUUGAACUUGUAUGGGAAAAGCAGGAUAAACAGUUGAUUCUUUUAUGGGGGCGGGAGAUGCCAUGUCUGCAGCAUGUAGAAAUUCCUGGGCCAGGGAUCGAACCUGUGCCACAGCUGCAACCCAAGCUGCUAUAGUGACAACAUGAAUCACUGCACCAUAAGGGAACCCCUAACACUUGACUCUUUGCCUUUAUCUCUUUCUUUCUUUCUUUUUAGGGCACCACCUACAGCAUGUGGAGGUUCCCAGGCUAGGGGUUAAAUCAGAGCUACACUAGCAAGCCUACACCACAGCUCACGGCAACACCGGAUCCUUAACCCACUGAGCAAGGCCAGGGAUCGAACCCGCAAGCUCAUGGUUCCUAGUUAGAUUGGUUAACAGCUGAGCCUCGAAGGGAACUCCUGCCUUUAUUUCUAUUUGGAAGUUUUCAAAAUGAUGAGUUGGUGCUCUGAUGUACUCCAAAGAGGAUCAGUGAGUUUAGGUUUUUUUUUUUUAAAAAGCAUCAUUAUGAAUUUAGGGGUUUUAACGUAUUUGAUAUGUUUUAAUCUGUUGUAGUGAUUCGUAUUGAUGUUCAGUUUGUUCCAGCCUCUUCAAGCUGACUCCCAAUUCCUUUUGACAUAACUGCAGUAGUCGUUGACAGUGUUCCUUUCUUUCUAGGAUAAGAUGUUCCAGACUCGCCAUGUACAUUCCUGCCCUUUAGUCAAAGAGCUCUGGAUGCUUUCAGUGAGAUAUGGUAUUUGAAGACCACAUUUAUUGCCUAGGAAACUGAGGGCUAGAGUGAUUUAACCAAGGUCACACAGAUUUAGCAGCAUGCUCUGACCUAGAACCCUAAGCUUCUGGCUCUUAGCUCUAUGCCAUUGCCAUUUUGUCUUGUUUCCUCUACCUAGUUUCUAUGACAGGUGUUUUAACUGCAUUUGAGCCUCUACUCUAGGCUAUCAGGGGAAGAUAGGUUUUGUGGGUCAUCAUUGGAGGUACAAUCAAACCUCAUUAAUUUGGGCUAAUUGGGGUAAAAUCCUAGGGAGAGUGUUGUGUGUUGUUUUUCUUUACGUGCAGCUGUUAUUUUGAGUCAUAACUGAAACUAGGCUAAUAGUGUUACCAGGUUAUUUUGUUGGGUAGAGGUCCCUGUACCUGGUUUAAUGAAUAGCUGAGAAGGAUGUGCAAUUUAACUUUAAUUAUAUGUAAAUUAGACUCCUAAAAUGCUUAAAAACAGCUCAUUAAACAUUUCUCCCUGCAAUCUUAUUUACACUAUUUUCUAAGCCAGACUUUUCUUUGUUAGAAUGCAGAGGUAAACUUUAGCUCAUGUCUGAAUUUCUCUCGAGUUUCAAAUGUGGAGUCUGUAUUAAUAAAGUUUUGCCGUAAAGUUCAGGGAAUUACAAAGAAUAUUUGAGGAAUUGCAGAGGAAGAGCAUCUGAAAGUUGGACAUCUGGCAUUUUCAGCCAACCAGAAUGCAACGCCUUGCAUUUAAAUGUACUUUUGAAGAAGUUCCUUUGUUGCACAGCAGGUUAAGGAUCUGUUAUUGCUGCAGCUGAGGCUCUGGCCACAACUGCAGCAUGAGUGCUUUUGUUUUUUUGCUUUUUAGGGCUACAGGUGUGGCAUAUAGAAGUUCCCAGGCUUGGGGUCAAAUCUGAGCUGCGGCUGCCGGCCUACACCACAGCCACAGCAACACCAGAUCCUUAACCCACUGAGCAAGGCCAGGGAUCAAACCUGCACCCUCAUAGAUACUAGUUGGGUUCGUUACCCCUGAGCCACAAUGGGAACUCCUGCAGCACUUAUUUGAUCCCUGGCUUAGGAACUUCUACAUGCCAUGGGUGCGGCCAAAAAAAAAGUAAAAAAUUUAAAAGUAAGGGUACUUGUGGAAGUCAGAAGCUUUCAGAAAGCUCAUUCACCUACCGAAAAGUAGUAUCGUCCUAGGGCCUCACUCGGAGGUAAUUGUGUAUAUUGAGAGUCAGAAGAUCCAGGUGUGUGAGGGCUGACAGUGUUGCCUGUUGGCUCUGAGGUCCAGAGUAAGUCACUUGACCUCUCUGAGCCUUAAUUUAUUCAUCCAUAAUGAGGUAAUCACAGUUGGGAGUAGUAAUCCAUGUUCUUUUUACCUCAUAGAUUUUGAGUGAAAUUCAAAUCAGCUAAUUAAUCAAAUGAUAUGGUAGAUAUUUGUUGAAUUAAUGAGAGAUGAUAUGAAAGUGCUUUUUUAACUAGAAGCCUUGUAUGACCGUAAGUAUUAGUAGAAUAAUAUAGAUUAGAUGCACUAAUACAUACUAAUGAUCAAAAAGUACAACAGUGGAAGGAGGAGAUUCAGGAUUCCUCCCCAGAACUUUAUAGUCAUUUUACUAAGAGGCAUAUAGCACUCAACACCUCAGGAGCCUGACAGCAUCAGGGUUUUAUAGCAUGGUAUCACUGCUGAUGUGAAGAACCUGAGUUAACUAAGAAAAAGUUAAAUUAUAUUUGGUAUAUUCUGUUUAAGAAAUAAUGGAUACGCACAAUAUGUUUUACAGAGAUGUUCAUAAAAAUGACAUCAAGAAGUAUAGUGCCUAAAGAGUUAUUUUCAUUAUUUGACAGUUCUACCUUAUGUGCAGUCUACCAUUCCCUAAAAACAGCUAACACCUGCGCUAAAUGCCAACAACUGUUCUAAAUUCUUCAUUUACAUUUACUCCUUUAUUUCUCUCAAUAACCUCAUGUGGGAAAGAGAUUAAGAGACCUGCCAGCGGUUCUGGGUGAGGAUCCUAGGUUGAGGAAAGAAAUUCCUAUAAAGAGCAUUAUUGGCACAAAUGGUAGAAUUUAGAUAUGGACUUUAUAUUAGAUAACAAUAUUAUAUCAUUGUUAAAUUUCCUAAUGUGAUAAUUGGACUGUAGUUUGUUCUAAGGGGUUGACUCUGAAGUAUUUAGUCAUAGGGCCACCAUAUCUGCAAAUUAUUAUUAAAUGGUUAAAAAAUGAGUAAUAAAAUUUUGUGUGUGGGGGAAUAAAAGUAAAUAUGGCAAAAUGUUCAUAAUUGCUAAACCUAGAUAAAAGGCAUAGAGGUGUCCUUUAUACUAUUCUUAAAACUUUUUCCAAGUUUGAAAUUAUUUCAAAAUAAAAAUUAAAACAAUAAAAACAUUUCCUGAGAUCACACAUCGAGAGUUUACAUAACAGAGUUGAGAUUUGAACUCUAGCCAAUUGGUUCUAGAAUCUGUGGGGGGGUGGGUUUGUUUGUUUUUUGUUUGUUUUUUGCCAUGCCUGUGGCAUACAGAAAUUCCAUGGCCAGAGAUCAAACCGCUGCCACAGCAGCCACCCAAGCCAUAACAGUGACAAUGCUAGAUUCUUCACCUGCUACACCACAAAGGAGCUGUCAGAAUUGAUAUUCUUAGAGUUCUUGUGGCGCAGCGGAGACGAAUCUGACUAGGAACCAUGAGGUUUCGGGUUCAUUCAUCCAUGAGGACGCAGGUUCGAUCCCUGGCCCUGUUCAGUGGGUUAAGGAUCCAGCAGUGCUGUGAGCUGUGGUGUAGGUUGCAGAUACGGCUUGGAUCUGGUGUGGCUGUGGCUGUGGUGUAGGCCGGUGCCUCAGAUCUGGUUGGACCCCUAGCCUGGAACCCUCCAUGUGCCGUGGGUUCGGCCCUAAAAAGGACAAAAGACAAAAAAAAAAGAAUCCAUAUUCUUAAUGACACCAUUACACCAUUAUAUUCCUGUUAUGUAUGCUAUUAUAUUAAUGGUACUAGGUAAAUGAGGUAAAUCUACUGACAUUUUUGAAUAAUUGAGAUUAUGAUUGGCUCCUGAACAUUUAGCUAUUUUAGCAGCUCUGCUUCCUGGUUCUUCAAGGAUAGGGUGAUCAUAUAAUUUAUUGUGUAAACCAGUUCGGGGUGGGGGACAUUACCGUUGUGGCUCAGGGGUAAUGAACCCAAUUAGUAUCCAUGAGGACGCAGGUUCUAUCCUUAGCCUCACUCAGUGGGUUAAGGAACUGGAGUUGCCAUGAGCUGUGGUGUAGGUCACAGCCUAUGCCACAGCCACAGCAAUACCAGAUCAGAGCCUUGGCUUCAACCUACACCACAGCUCACUGCAAUGCUGGAUCCUUAACCCACUGAGCAGGGCCAGGGAUCAAAUCUGUAUCCUCAUGGAUGCUAGACGGGUUUGUUUCUGUUGAGCCACAGUGAGGAGCUCCCUCCUUCCCUCUGUUUUAGUAGAAGUUCUUGAGUGCAUAGACCAUGUCAGAGCCCAUUUUCAAAGCAGUUCAUAGAGAGUUAGCUGUGCAAUUUACUUACUCUUGGUCGCCAAGAAGGAGUAAAAAUCACAGAACCGGAUGGCUACUUAAGAGCAAACUUGAGGGCCUAGACCAGAGAGCAAGAAGAAGGCUGGGAGGUGGUCUCAGGAACAUAUAAUUUACAGUAACACAAUAGAUAUUAGGUAGUGGAAAGUUUAGGCUACUAUAUACCAGAAACCUGCUCCUAAGAAGUUUUUACUUGGAAUUGGCUUUCUAAGUAAAGUUUUUGUGCCUAUUAGAAUGCCACAGAAUUCAUCUUUUGGCUUUUUGUCCUGUGAAGGCAUUAGAAUUUAAAACAGACCCUUUAACAUGAUUUAUGGCUGACAAGAAAUAGCAGUACAGUUAAGGCAGGUGUAAUUUAAUUACCCUGUCUGUGGGAAUGGGCCUGUUCCCACUAAAAUUGUCUGUGGGUAAAAUCACAACAAAGAUCACAGUUCCUGUUGUGGCUCAGCAGAAAUGAACCCAACUAGUAUCCAUGAGGUCACAGGUUUGAUCCCUGGCCCCGCUCAGUGGGUUAAAGGAGCCAGCGUUGCCAUGAGCUGUGGUGUAGGUCACAGACAUGGCUCAGAUCCCAUGUGGCUGUGGCCGGCAGCUGUAGCUCUGAUUCAGUCCCUAGCCUGGGAAUUUUGGUACGCCUUGGGUGCAGCCCUAAAAACCAAAAAAAAAAAAAA